CAAAUGUGUAGGACAACAUAUUCUCCAAACCUCCUCAUUUACUAGUUUGCUAUCUCUCUAUCUUAAAUUGAUGCUUUAAGAACUGAACCUCGACCAGUGGAACUUUUAUAGCAGCUCAGAACACUGAAGCCACAUCACUGAGAGGCUCGGGAACCAGAGGCAGGAACCGCAGCUCAGUCAGUGGGGAGACAAGACGCCCAGAACACUGAAUCCACAUCCCUUAGAGGCUCGGAAACCAGAGGCAGGAACCGGAGCUCAGUCAACGUGGAGAGAAGACGCCCAGAACACUGAAGCACAUCACUGAGAGGCUCGGGAACCAGAGGCAGGAACCGGAGCUCAGUCAGCGGUGAGACAAGACGGUGAGUCUCUCAUUUGCACUGAUUAUGGCUGAAAUAAAGCAGGAAAGUUAUUGCAGGUUUUAAACGCAGGGAGAUGUCACUCCAUGUGAACAGCGCAAGAUAAAUGCAACUUGCUGUUUUGUAGUUAGUGAAAGUUUACUGAUAUUAAAGAAACCCGGAGCCAGUGAUCGUGGAAUCAUUUAAAUUUAAUUUGCUUAAUUAGUUUAACUAACCAUCGUGACAUCGUUUAAGGGACAA